GACGAACGCUGGCGGCGUGCCUAAUACAUGCAAGUAGAACGCUGAAGGAGGAGCUUGCUUCUCUGGAUGAGUUGCGAACGGGUGAGUAACGCGUAUGUAACCUGCCUUGUAGCGGGGGAUAACUAUUGGAAUCGAUAUCUAAUACCGCAUAAGAGUAUAUGUUGCAUGACAUUUGCUUAAAAGGUGCAAUUGCAUCACUACCAGCUGGACCUGCGUUGUAUUAGCUAGUUGGUGAGGUAACGGCUCACCAAGGCAACGAUACAUAGCCGGCCUGAGAGGGUGAUCCGCCACACUGGGAAUGAGACACGGCCCAGAAUCCUACGGGAGGCAGCAGUAGGGAAUCUUCGGCAAUGGAGGGAAGUCUGACCGAGGAAAGCCGCGUGAGUGAAGGAGGUUUUCGGAUCGUAAAGCUCUGUUGUAAGGGAAGAACGAGUGUGAGAGUGGAAAGUUCACACUGUGACGGUAUCUUAACAGAAAGGGACGGCUAACUACGUG
rnacentral:rRNA from 1 species